UACGAAGGGGGCUAGCGUUGUUCGGAAUUACUGGGCGUAAAGCGCGCGCAGGCGGUUUCUCAAGUCAGUGGUGAAAGCCCGGAGCUCAACUCCGGAACUGCCAUUGAAACUGUGAGACUUGAGGACGAGAGAGGUGAGUGGAAUUCCCAGUGUAGAGGUGAAAUUCGUAGAUAUUGGGAAGAACACCGGUGGCGAAGGCGGCUCACUGGUUCGUUUCUGACGCUCAGGCGCGACAGCGUGGGGAUCAAACAGG
rnacentral:rRNA from 1 species